CAGUUUGGCUGGGAUCACUCGGUGCACAAAAGGAAAAGACUCCCCCCCCAGUGAAGAGAUCCCUAGUGUACUACCUGAAGACUUGUGAAGUCAGGCUACAGAAUGAAACCCACUACUCUCAGGUGUUACAUGGUUAUGGGUCACAACAACUUCCCAGUCUCCUCAAGGAGAGAGAAUUUCACCUUAGGACCCUUAAUAAAGUGUUUGCUUCUCAGUGCUUGAGUCGUAGGCAAGUGGUGUGUGGCAUAAAAUGCAACAUGCUCUUUGUAGUGGAUAUCCACACGGGCCACAUUACCAAGAUUCCCAUUCUGAAAGUCCAGGAACCUAGAUGUGAGACUCAGCAGGGCUGUAAUAUCCAUGCAGUUGAACUGAAUCCUAGAAGACUCCUAGCGACUGGAAGAGACAACUGAAACAGUUUUGCCAUCUAUUGCCUGCCUACAUUGGAUCAUAUGUGUGUGGGUGAGGAUGGACACAAGGAUUAGAUCUUUUCUAUUGUGUGGAUCAAUGAUACUGUUGCAGUGCCUGGUUCACGGGAUGGGUCUAUGGGUCUCUGGGAGGUGACAGAUGAUGGUUGACCAAAAGUGAUGCAAGACAUAAUGUGUCACCAUUACCUGUGUAUGCUCAUAUCGCUCACAAGGCCUUAAAGGAUAUCACCAAGAAGGAUACAAACCCAGACAACUGCAAGGUGCGGGCUUUAGCCUUCAACAAGAACAAGGAGUUGGGAGCAGUAUCGCCAGAUGGUUACUUCCAUCUCUGGAAGACUGAAAGUGCACUGUCUAAACUCCUUUCCACCAAAUUGCCAUAUUGUAGAGAAAAUGUGUGUCUGGCCUAUGGUAGUGAGUGGUCAGUACAUGCGGUGGGCUCUAAGCACAUGUCUCCUUCUUGGACCCAUGGCAGCCAUCGGACAACAUCAAAUCUGUCUGCUCCAGGGAGCGAAGCACUGGGAUUUGAUCCGUGAGCUUCUAUGAACACAUCCUCACUGUGGGCACAGGGCAGGGCUCCCUGUUGCUCUAUGACAUCAGAACUCAGAGAUUUUUGGAAGAGAAGCUCUCAGCUUGUUAUGGUCCAAGACCAGACUCUCAGAGGAGAAUCUCAAACUAACUACUGGCAAGGGCUAGCUGAAUCAUGAUGAAACCUGGAGGAAAUACUUUUCAGACGUUGAUUUCUUCUCCAAUGCUGUUUAUACCCACUGCUACAAAACUCUUUGUGACAGGGGGUCUCCACUCUUCUAGUCUCCAUGGAAACUAUGCUGAACUGUGGAGUUAAUGACAA
rnacentral:lncRNA from 1 species